AGCCGCGGUAAUACGUAGGUGGCAAGCGUUAUCCGGAAUUAUUGGGCGUAAAGCGCGCGCAGGUGGUUUCUUAAGUCUGAUGUGAAAGCCCACGGCUCAACCGUGGAGGGUCAUUGGAAACUGGGAGACUUGAGUGCAGAAGAGGAAAGUGGAAUUCCAUGUGUAGCGGUGAAAUGCGUAGAGAUAUGGAGGAACACCAGUGGCGAAGGCGACUUUCUGGUCUGUAACUGACACUGAGGCGCGAAAGCGUGGGGAGGAAACAGGUUUAGAUACCCUGGUAGUCCACGCCGUAAACGAUGAGUGCUAAGUGUUAGAGGGUUUCCGCCCUUUAGUGCUGAAGUUAACGCAUUAAGCACUCCGCCUGGGGAGUACGGCCGCAAGGCUGAAACUCAAAGGAAUUGACGGGGGCCCGCACAAGCGGUGGAGCAUGUGGUUUAAUUCGAAGCAACGCGAAGAACCUUACCAGGUCUUGACAUCCUC
rnacentral:rRNA from 1 species